rnacentral:rRNA from 1 species
AUACGGAGGGAGCAAGCGUUAUUCGGAAUCACUGGGCGUAAAGGACGCGUAGGCGGGUUUGUAAGUCAGGUGUGAAAUCCUACAGCUCAACUGUAGAACUGCACUUGAAACUACAGACCUAGAGUAUGGAAGGGGCAGAUGGAAUUAGUGGUGUAGGGGUAAAAUCCGGAGAUAUCACUAGGAAUACCGAAAGCGAAGGCGAUCUGCUGGGACAUUACUGACGCUGAGGCGUGAAAGCGUGGGGAGCAAACAGGAUUAGAAACCCUAGUAGUCC